UAACCAAAAUACGACUCUCGGCAACGGAUAUCUCGGCUCUCGCAUCGAUGAAGAACGUAGCGAACUGCGAUACUUGGUGUGAAUUGCAGAAUCCCGUGAACCAUCGAGUCUUUGAACGCAAGUUGCGCCCGAAGCCAUUAGGCCAAGGGCACGUCUGCC
rnacentral:rRNA from 6 species